rnacentral:rRNA from 1 species
CCUACGGGAGGCAGCAGUGAGGAAUAUUGGUCAAUGGACGAGAGUCUGAACCAGCCAAGUAGCGUGAAGGAUGACUGCCCUAUGGGUUGUAAACUUCUUUUAUAUGGAAAUAAAAUGUUCCACGUGUGGGAUUUUGUAUGUACCAUAUGAAUAAGGAUCGGCUAACUCCGUGCCAGCAGCCGCGGUAAUACGGAGGAUCCGAGCGUUAUCCGGAUUUAUUGGGUUUAAAGGGAGCGUAGGUGGAUUGUUAAGUCAGUUGUGAAAGUUUGCGGCUCAACCGUAAAACUGCAGUUGAAACUGGCAGUCGUGAGUACAGUAGAGGUGGGCGGAAUUCGUGGUGUAGCGGUGAAAUGCUUAGAUAUCGCGAAGAACUCCGAUUGCGAAGGCAGCUCACUGGACUGCAACUGACACUGAGGCUCGAAAGUGUGGGUAUCAAACAGGAUUAGAUACCCUUGUAGUC